rnacentral:rRNA from 1 species
AGCGAACGCUGGCGGCGUGCUUAACACAUGCAAGUCGAGUGCGCGGUUCGUAGCAAUACGAACUGGCGCACGGCGCACGGGUGAGGAACACGUGGGCAACAUGCCCUCCGAUGGGGAAUAACCCGCCGAAAGGCGGGCUAAUACCGCAUACGAUUCCGGGGACCUCGGUUCCUGGACUGAAAGCCCGCAAGGGCGUCGGUGGAGUGGCCCGCGGCCGAUUAGCUUGUUGGCGGGGAACGGCCCACCAAGGCAAUGAUCGGUAGCCGGUCUGAGAGGAUGAUCGGCCACACUGGAACUGAGACACGGUCCAGACUCCUACGGGAGCAGCAGUGGGGAAUCUUGCGCAAUGGGCGAAAGCCUGACGCAGCGACGCCGCGUGGGGAUGAAGCCUUUCGGGGCGUAAACCCCUUUCGACCCGGACGAAAUGCCCGCAAGGGAAUUGACGGUACGGGUAUAAGAAGCCCCGGCUAACUACGUGCCAGCAGCCG